ACANUAGCCGUUGUUUCUUGGAUCCUCAAUUUACUUGGAUACCUGUGGUAAUUCUAGAGCUAAUACAUGCGACUAAGGGCCGAACUCACGUGACGCUUGCAUUUAUUAGAUCAAGACUAACCGGCUUCGGCCGUUAACUUGGUGACUCUGAAUAACUCAGCUGAUCGCACGGUCUAGUGCCGGCGACAUAUCUUUCAAGUGUCUACCUUAUCAACUGUCGAUGGUAGUUUAUGUGACUACCAUGGUUGUAACGGGUAACGGAGAAUCAGGGUUUGACUCCGGAGAGGGAGCCUGAGAAACGGCUACCACUUCUAAGGAAGGCAGCAGGCGCGCAAAUUACACAAUCUCAGCACGAGGAUGUAGUGACGAAACAUACCGAGGCGAUGCCCUUUCGGGUGUCGUCAUUGGAAUGAGUCGAAUCUAAAAAAUUCGGCAAGGAUCUAGUGGAGGGCAAGUCUGGUGCCAGCAGCCGCGGUAAUUCCAGCUCCGCAAGUGUAUAUCUAUGCUGUUGCGGUUAAAAAGCUCGUAGUUUGAUUCGCGUACUUAGCACGCAGUGUGGCCUUUCGGCUACUACUGUGAUGCGGUACAUUAUCGUCAGUUUGUCGUUGAUGCUCUUCAUUGGGUGUCAGCGGCGGCUGUCAAGUUUACUUUGAACAAAUUAAAGUGNNCAAUACAGGCGUUUCGCUUGUAUAGUUCUGCAUGGAAUAAUAGAAUAGGACUUACGUUCUAUUGUGUUGGUUUUCAGAACGAAAGUAAUGAUUAAGAGGGACAGACGGGGUCAUUCGUACUGCCACGUUAGAGGUGAAAUUCUUGGAUCGUGGCAAGACGAACUACUGCGAAAGCAUUUGACAAGAAUGUUUUCAUUAAUCAAGAACGAAAGUUNUGGGUC
rnacentral:rRNA from 1 species